AGCGAACGCUGGCGGCAGGCCUAACACAUGCAAGUCGAACGAACUCUUCGGAUUUAGUGGCGGACGGGUGAGUAACACGUGGGAACGCGCCUUUAGGUUCGGAAUAACUCAGGGAAACUUGUGCUAAUACCGAAUGUGCCCUUCGGGGGAAAGAUUUAUCGCCUUUAGAGCGGCCCGCGUCUGAUUAGCUAGUUGGUGAGGUAAAGGCUCACCAAGGCGACGAUCAGUAGCUGGUCUGAGAGGAUGAUCAGCCACAUUGGGACUGGGACACGGCCCAAACUCCUACGGGAGGCAGCAGUGGGGAAUCUUGCGCAAUGGGCGAAAGCCUGACGCAGCCAUGCCGCGUGAAUGAUGAAGGUCUUAGGAUUGUAAAAUUCUUUCACCGGGGACGAUAAUGACGGUACCCGGAGAAGAAGCCCCGGCUAACUUCGUG
rnacentral:rRNA from 1 species